GACAGAGGUGCCGAGCGUUAGGCGGAAUCACUGGGCUUAAAGCGUGUGUAGGCGGAUUUGUAAGUACCUUGUGAAAUCCCACGGCUCAACCGUGGAACUGCUUGGUAUACUGCUUAUCUUGAGCCACUUAGGGGCAGUCGGAACAGACGGUGGAGCGGUGAAAUGCGUAGAUAUGUGGAGGAAUACCGAUGGCGAAGGCAGCCCCCUGGGAUAACACUGACGCUCAUGCACGAAAGCGUGGGGAGCAAACAGG
rnacentral:rRNA from 1 species